GACGAACGCUGGCGGCGUGCUUAACUCAUGCAAGUCGUACGGUAAGGCCCUUUCGGGGGUACACGAGUGGCGAACGGGUGAGUAACACGUGAGUAACCUGCCCACAACUUUGGGAUAACGCUAGGAAACUGGUGCUAAUACUGGAUAUGUGCUCCUGCUGCAUGGUGGGGGUUGGAAAGCUCCGGCGGUUGUGGAUGGACUCGCGGCCUAUCAGCUUGUUGGUGGGGUAGUGGCCUACCAAGGCGGCGACGGGUAGCCGGCCUGAGAGGGUGACCGGCCACAUUGGGACUGAGAUACGGCCCAGACUCCUACGGGAGGCAGCAGUGGGGAAUAUUGCACAAUGGGCGCAAGCCUGAUGCAGCAACGCCGCGUGCGGGAUGACGGCCUUCGGGUUGUAAACCGCUUUCAGCAGGGACGAAGCUUUUUGUGACGGUACCUGCAGAAGAAGCACCGGCUAACUACGUG
rnacentral:rRNA from 1 species